rnacentral:rRNA from 1 species
AGUGAACGCUGGCGGUAGGCCUAACACAUGCAAGUCGAACGGCAGCACAGUAAGAGCUUGCUCUUACGGGUGGCGAGUGGCGGACGGGUGAGGAAUACAUCGGAAUCUACUUUUUCGUGGGGGACAACGUAGGGAAACUUACGCUAAUACCGCAUACGACCUACGGGUGAAAGCAGGGGAUCUUCGGACCUUGCGCGAUUGAAUGAGCCGAUGUCGGAUUAGCUAGUUGGCGGGGUAAAGGCCCACCAAGGCGACGCUCCGUAGCUGGUCUGACAGGAUGAUCAGCCACACUGGAACUGAGACACGGUCCAAACUCCUACGGAAGGCAGAGGUGGGAAAUAUUGGACAAUGGGCGCAAGCCUAAUCCAGCCAGACCGCGUGGGUGAAGAAGGCCUUCGGUUUGUAAAGCCCUUUUGUUGGGAAAGAAAAGCAGCAGGUUAAUACCCCGCUGUUCUGACGGAACCCAAAGAAUAAGCACCGGCUAACUUCGU